UAGAUAUUUUAAGAGUGAUAAGCGUGCGAAAGUCCGGGUCUGUCGUGCAAUAAAAGCAAAGACUUGUGCUGAUAACAGAACGCAAUUUAAACUGCGUUUGCAAACAGUCAUGAAAACUGCUUUCAUUUUCAUCGUCCUUUUCGCUUUUGUAUGUUGUGUGGACCAGUCCACCCACUGUAACAUGGUGUGCCCCAUGAGCUGGAUCCCUCUGUGUGGGUCUGACGGCCACACCUACAGCAAUGAGUGUGAACUCAGGGUCACCAACUGUUUGCAAAAGAGCAACAUAGUGAAGGUUCGAUCCGGCACUUGUGAUACAGACACAGUUGGAUAGGUCAACUUUACCCUUGUUCAUGUAUCCAAACAAAAUGAAUUUUAAUAAAUAUUUAACCAAACAA